UGAAGCUGAAAUUCCAAAGGCGAGUAAGGCAUUAGAGGGAGCCGAAGGUGUUUCCAACUUGAAGGUUCAAGUCCUUGAGUGUAUUGGUACUGUUGAGUUAACUAAACAGACGACGGUCCAAGCUACCAGAGUGGCAUCCAAUUUGGUGGAGCUCAUACAGGGUGCAGGAUUCAAGUUACAGACAUUGAAUUUGAGCUUCGAUGAUGAAGAAGACAUUCUUGCGUAGAUGUCGUAUUUAGAUUUUGAA